GCUUUCCUGUGGCUUAGUUGGUAGAGCACUGCUCUAACAACGCUAAGGUCAUAUGUUCAAAUCCCAGGGAAAGCA